rnacentral:rRNA from 1 species
AUGUCCAUCGUGCAUGUCUGUGUGCAGUUGCUGUUUGGUGCUACUGCCGGGAAAGAAACUGUUCCAAGGGCACGUGCACAGUUGCACUCCUCCUUCAGUGAUUCCUUUGAUGUAUCUCAAGAGAGGAUAGUGAUAACGAACAGUUCUGGAGAGAAACUCAUUGGUGUUUUGCACGAAGCUGGAUCUAAGGACAUUGUAGUGUUAUGCCAUGGGUUUAGGUCAUCAAAGGAAAGUAGAACCAUAAUGGGUCUUACUGAUGCAUUAACAUCAGAGAAGAUUAGUGUAUUUCGGUUUGAUUUUUCUGGCAAUGGAGAAAGUGAAAGUACAUUUCAGUAUGGCAACUACUACAAAGAGGUGGAUGAUUUGCAUAGUGUAAUCCAGCAUUUUAAGGAACACAAGCGUGAUACUCGUGCUAUUGCUGGCCACAGUAAGGGAGGAGAUGUGGUCAUCAUCUAUGGGUCCAUGUAUCAAGAUGUAUCUCGUAUUAUCAACAUAUCGGGCAGAUUUGAUCUGAAACGUGGAAUUGCAGAUCGUCUUGGCAGUGACUAUAUGGAAAGGAUAAAUCAACAUGGUUUCAUUGACGUGGCACAGAAGACAGGACAGUUCAUGUACCGUGUAACCAAAGAAAGUCUGAUGGAUCGUCUUAGGAUAGAUAUGCAAAGUGCAUGCAUGUCUAUUGACCCUAAUUGCAGGGUCCUGACAGUUCACGGUUCUGAAGAUGAUGUUGUGCCAUCGGAGGAUGCUCUGGAAUUUCAUAAAUAUAUAGGCAACCAUGAAUUGCAUAUUAUUGAGGGAGCUGAUCAUAGAUAUUCAUCUCAUCAGCUUGAGUUGGCUAACAUUGUAAUGAAAUUUGUUACAUCUGGCUGA